rnacentral:lncRNA from 1 species
AUUGAAAGCCAAAAACACCCUUGAAGAAACACCAGAAGUCAGUGCUUUGGAUCACACUGAGUUCUUUGCUAUUGUUCACUCAUUUGGAAUGCUCUGGGGAUGCUAAAUACUUUGGAUUGGGCAUUAAAAAAGAAACAAAUCUGUGUCUGGUCAAACUGUUCUCACUGGAUCAAGAACUGUGUUAUCUGAAUUGAUUUGCAAAUUCUGUGGUCCUUCAAGACCUAAAAUCCAGAAAAAGGCGUUUGUUCCAAUCACUUUGGAAAAACAGUUCCAGAAUCGUCCCCAGCCCCGGCUGGCACAGCAGCAUCCUCAUUUGUAUGCUGCAGCUUUGUCUAGCAGAAGACAUUCUGCAGCGCCAUUCCUGACUGCUCUCCACCGCGAGUUUUCCAGUGGGAUGGAGCUCCCUCCCGUGUCCUGCAGUGCUUGAUAACACACCCGCAUUGGCUUCUUUCACUUCCCUGUCUCACUCCCCAACUCAGCUCCCAGUGUCUCCUGGGAUCGCC